rnacentral:rRNA from 1 species
AGUGAACGCUGGCGGUAGGCCUAACACAUGCAAGUCGAACGGCAGCACAGUAAGAGCUUGCUCUUACGGGUGGCGAGUGGCGGACGGGUGAGGAAUACAUCGGAAUCUACUUUUUCGUGGGGGAUAACGUAGGGAAACUUACGCUAAUACCGCAUACGACCUACGGGUGAAAGCAGGGGACCUUCGGCCCUUGCGCGAUUGAAUGAGCCGAUGUCGGAUUAGCUAGUUGGCGGGGUAAAGGCCCACCAAGGCGACGAUCCGUAGCUGGUCUGAGAGGAUGAUCAGCCACACUGGAACUGAGACACGGUCCAGACUCCUACGGGAGGCAGCAGUGGGGAAUAUUGGACAAUGGGCGCAAGCCUGAUCCAGCCAUACCGCGUGGGUGAAGAAGGCCUUCGGGUUGUAAAGCCCUUUUGUUGGGAAAGAAAAGCAGCAGGUUAAUACCCCGCUGUUCUGACGGUACCCAAAGAAUAAGCACCGGCUAACUUCGUG